rfam:Ectocarpus siliculosus strain Ec 32, whole genome shotgun sequence assembly, unassigned sequences LGTn
GCCCCUGUGGCCCAAUGGAUAAGGCGUCACCCUCCUAAGGUGAAGAUUGCGAGUUCGAGUCUCGCCAGGGGUU